UGCGUAGGCGGUUUGGUAAGUCUUCUGUGAAAUCUAUGGGCUCAACUCAUAGACUGCAUGAGAAACUGCCGGGCUGGAGUGUGGGAGAGGUGAGUGGAAUUCCUGGUGUAGCGGUGAAAUGCGUAGAUAUCAGGAGGAACACCUGUGGCGAAAGCGGCUCACUGGACCAUAACUGGACGCUGAUGCACGAAAGCUAGGGGAGCAAACAGGAUUAGAUACCCUGGUAGUCCUAGCCCUAAACCAUGAUUGCUUGGUGUGACGGGUACCCAAUCCCGCCGUGCCGUAGCUAACGCGUUAAGCAAUCCGCCUGGGGAGUACGGUACGCGAAGGCUGAA
rnacentral:rRNA from 1 species